GCCCUCAUAGUUAAACGGAUAGAACAAGGGUUUGCGGAACCCUAGAUGGAGGUUCGAUUCCUCCUGAGGGCA
rnacentral:tRNA from 1 species